CACAGAUUCAUUACCCUCUCCCCUCUCUUUCUCCUUCUCCAACAUUAUUCUCUCUCUAAAAUGGCACGAAUGAAGCUCUCUUUGUAGAUAUUGACGAAGCAACUGAUGAUGAAGAUUUCAAGGUGGUUCCCAAAUCUCAUCUAACUUCUUACCUUAUUCCCAAUCUUGGAAGUGAGGGAGAAUGAAGUAGUAUCCUACCAGAGAGAUUUAAAGAGCCUCAGAAAAAUGGAGUUUCUCUGUGCCCUAACCUUGCCCGUUGGAAAACUAGUCGUCAACUACGUUGAGCAGAACCACAAGUUCUCUAUUGUGGUGUUGAGACUUCAUUCUUAUAGGACAAAAUGAAGAUCUUUAUGGCAAAGAAUUACUGUGUAAGAUUGCAUGCUUUAUUCGGUGCUGCUUUGGCAGCUGGACUGGUAACAGCCAGAACCAUCGCUGGAAAAUAUGUUGACAUGACGGUUUUUCUCUGAUUUUCCACUCCAUAGAUUUCAAAAUCUGCCUGAAAAUAUAUGAUGCCCAUUGAGUCCAUACCUUUCCAUGAAAUCAUCUGCUUUAAGAACGUCGACAAACUUCAAGCAGGUUGCUGAUUUCGUGGUGGCAAAUUCCGAUCCUUUCAUACCUAUAAGUCAAAAGACUCGUACGUCUUGUCAUUUCUGGAAGUGGCUAAGGUAUUUGUUAUGACCCAGAAGAUUAUUGGCUGGAUUUAGAAAGAUUUUACACUUGAGCAUCUUGGUUAUCUGCAUUCUAUUUUCUGAAUCUAAUCUGCGCAAGGCCUCUGAAUCAUUGAAAAGAGUUGCAGCAGUGGUUUUGGCAGCUCAUGACUGAAUUGAAGAGUGCACAUCAGAUUUCAUUUUAUUUUUCCAAUGAUAUUUUAGACAUUUCUUUGAUUGCAUCAACAGAAAAACCCGGGAAUUUUUGUUUCUUGGUAGAUGCUUUCAUAGUAUUUGUAUGUGUAAUUAGUUUGAAUUGCAUCUUUUGUGCCGAUUUGUUUUGUAAUAACUUUCAACUUACAACUAGGCACUAGUUUAACUUUA